rnacentral:rRNA from 1 species
UUGCCAGACUCCUACGGGAGGCAGCAGUGGGGAAUAUUGCACAAUGGGGGAAACCCUGAUGCAGCGACGCCGCGUGAGUGAAGAAGUAAUUCGUUAUGUAAAGCUCUAUCAGCAGGGAAGAAAAUGACGGUACCUGAGUAAGAAGCCCCGGCUAACUACGUGCCAGCAGCCGCGGUAAUACGUAGGGGGCAAGCGUUAUCCGGAUUUAUUGGGUUUAAAGGGUGCGUAGGCGGAUUUUUAAGUCAGCGGUAAAAUGUCCGGGCUCAACCCGGGCCGGCCGUUGAAACUGGGGAUCUUGAGUGGGCGAGAAGUAUGCGGAAUGCGUGGUGUAGCGGUGAAAUGCAUAGAUAUCACGCAGAACUCCGAUUGCGAAGGCAGCAUACCGGCGCCCGACUGACGCUGAGGCACGAAAGCGUGGGGAUCGAACAGGAUUAGAUACCCUCGUA